rnacentral:rRNA from 1 species
GCCGCAAGGCUGAACUGCGAUACUCGUCUGCAGUCGAACGCACAGCGCAAUGGUGCUUGCACCUUUCAAGUGAGUGGCGCGACGGGUGAGUAACACGUGGACAACCUGCCUCAAGGCUGGGGAUAACAUUUGGAAACAGAUGCUAAUACCGAAUAAAACUUAGUGUCGCAUGACAAAAAGUUAAAAGGCGCUUCGGCGUCACCUAGAGAUGGAUCCGCGGUGCAUUAGUUAGUUGGUGGGGUAAAGGCCUACCAAGACAAUGAUGCAUAGCCGAGUUGAGAGACUGAUCGGCCACAUUGGGACUGAGACACGGCCCAAACUCCUACGGGAGGCUGCAGUAGGGAAUCUUCCACAAUGGGCGAAAGCCUGAUGGAGCAACGCCGCGUGUGUGAUGAAGGCUUUCGGGUCGUAAAGCACUGUUGUAUGGGAAGAACAGCUAGAAUAGGAAAUGAUUUUAGUUUGACGGUACCAUACCAGAAAGGGACGGCUAAAUACGUGCCAGCAGCCGCGGUAAUACGUAUGUCCCGAGCGUUAUCCGGAUUUAUUGGGCGUAAAGCGAGCGCAGACGGUUUAUUAAGUCUGAUGUGAAAGCCCGGAGCUCAACUCCGGAAUGGCAUUGGAAACUGGUUAACUUGAGUGCAGUAGAGGUAAGUGGAACUCCAUGUGUAGCGGUGGAAUGCGUAGAUAUAUGGAAGAACACCAGUGGCGAAGGCGGCUUACUGGACUGCAACUGACGUUGAGGCUCGAAGUGUGGUAGCAAACAGGAUUAGAUACCCUGGUAGUCCACACCGUAACGAUGACACUAGGUGUAGGAGGUUCCGCCUCUAGUGCCGAGCUACGCAUAGUGUUCCGCCUGGGGAGUACGACGCAGUGAACUCAAGGAUGACGGGACCSCACAGCGGUGGAGCAUGUGAUUACUCGAGCACGGUAGAUCUUACCAGGUCUGGACUCAUUGAGCUUAGAAAGACGGUUUUCUCUCCGAUGAACAAUGUC